GCGUUGGGAAAACGAAUGACGUUAGAUCAAGCAUAGAGCUUGCAAAGUGAUUCGGAGCGAAGGACAAAAUCAACUCGUGAAUAUUUACCAUCAUUGAGCUGAAAAACAUUUUGAAAUGUAAAGGAUUAAACAAAAGGUAAAAGCAAAAUUCGAAGCGAUUAGUAAAAUCAUUAAUAAACAACGAUCGAAUGCUAAUCAUUAUAGGUGAUUAAAACAACUGUACAAUUAGUCUAACGAAAAACGACAAUUCUGAUUAUAAUAAUGAUUGUUAAUCAGAUGCUGAUAUUAAAGCAAAUAAUUUCGAUUUAUCAUUAUUCAAGGAGACAAUGUCUAAACACUCAUUAAAGUUACUUAGCAAAGAAGAAAAUGUGACACCAAACAUGGCUAUGUUUCAAUUACCUGUUUACGAAACUUCACAUUUAAAAAAUUAAACAACGCCGAACGAAACGAACAAAGAUUAGCAAGGAACGAAUAACAAUGGAAAUAUCACAACUACAAUCGAAAAUAAUGAAUUUAAGUGACAUGAUGAAGUUGUUGUAUUUAAAAAUAAUAUUUCAAUCUUAAAGAUAUGGAAGAAAUAACUGAGAUUUCUUAAUGAAACGUUAUUACAAAUUGUCGACUAAAAGAUAAUACAAUAUUUAAUAUAUCUCAAUUAUCAAUGAAUAUUUUUAACACUUUUUUAUCGGCAUACUCAUUUCUAUGAAAUCAUCUCAAUUUAAUCGUAAGAUCAACAAAAAAAUGUUAUAUAAAAUGUGAAUAAAUAAUGGAUAAAAAAUAUAUAUAAAUAUUAGAUCAUUUCAUUCAUUAUAUAUAUAUAUAUAUAUAUAUAUAUUUAUAUUUAUGUGAUAUUUGAAUGAAAUGAUUUCGUAUAGAUGGCAGCGAGUUGCUUUAGGGAGAAAAAAUAAAUGCUAAAUCGUUUACCGAUGUCCUAUUGAGUUCUGAUAAUCAUAUAGAAUUUCUAAUGAACGGAAAAACAGUAUUUACGAGGUCUCUUGAGCUAGAGGGAUUUGGAAGUGGGGGAAGGUGGUAGGAAAUGGGAGGAGGAGAUUCGAGUGGAGGCAAACCGUUUUAACGAAGUUCGGAGAUAUAACUAUAAUUUUGUCCAUUUCGCGUCGCGCAGGGAGCAUCGAUUUGAUUCGAACACACAAAGAGAAAGAGCAAAAGAGAGAGAGAGAGAGAGAGAGAGAGAGAGAGCGAAAGAGAGACUGUCUAUAUAUCUCUGUUUACGCGUGUUAUGUUUAUAUGUAUGGGUGCAUGCGUAUCCGAGAGAAAGCCAUGAUAAUGCGACCGCGCGAGUAUUUCGAUGAAACACACGUCGAAAUCGGUAAUUCGAGAUGAUCGAUACAAGUGAUUGCACUGGGAUAGGAUUAGUGAGACGCGAUUUGUUCCCCAAAUUAUACUGGCAAUCACUGACUGUCCAGUUUAAUCGAGUCGUUAUACCUUCCCAUUGUUGCUUAUUUAAUAAUUAAACAAUGAUAGAACGAUACUGGGAACUUUUGUCAGUAUGUUCUCUUUUAUU